rnacentral:lncRNA from 1 species
GGCCUCUUAGGCAUUAGUCUGUUGAAUUCUCAUAUUGCCUUAAGUUAGGUGCUACUACCAUUUCCCCUUCAGAGAAAACUACACUGUGAGGGACUUGUCCAGGGUCCACAGGAUUGGAACUCGGGUCCUUAUUAACCAACUUUCCUGCUGGUUCCUCAGCCCCAGCUCUGCAUCCUCAUCUUGAGAUGCUCUGUUUGACCCUAUGCAAGUAGCUAGCCCUCUCUGGGCAUCUGUAAACCAAGGGCAAGGUCACAUAAGGUGUUCAGGCCUCUUUGUUCUUGGCUUUGGCCGCUUUGGGCCUGGAGGUCUGAGUGAAACAAAGAAGGUAGUGCUUUCCUUUCUCAGCCACUGGGAGCUGGAAGAUGGAAUCCGCUCAGCCGGUGCAGGCCCAUAAGUCACCCAGCUCCAGAAGCGGCUUCAUCAGCUAUCAGGAGGGUGCUGGCUGCACAGGGCCCAGCCCACACCCACCUUCAGAACAGACUUAAGCGCUAUUAAUUUCCUCACCCUCUACCCUCUGGGGAGCCAUUGCUUAGGUCUGGGCAAGGGGAGCCAGAGGCCAGGAGGAAGGCAGCGGUGGGAGGCUUUAGGUCCUCUGCAGGGUGUGUGACUAUGGGCCCCUCAGGUAGGGGGGCCUCAGUGGGCUGUGGGUGGAUAGGGGACUGGCACAUGUUGGGGUGAAUUCCAGGAUUGCUUUCCACUCUCAACCUCCCUCCUCCCCAGAAGGGAACCAGAGGGCUAAAGGGGCAGGAGGAAAGUCACAUUUAUUGAGUGCUUAUUGUAUACCAAGCCCGGGAACUAUCCUCUCAUCACAUUCUCUCCACAAGCCAGAGGUGUAAUUUGCCUCUAAGGAAAGAGGCUCAGAGAGAUUAAGUGACCUGCUCAGGACCUCACAGCUACUCCGUGGGCUAGGCUGGGACUGGGCUGCAGGUCUGGGCUGGGCCUCUGGACUGAGAAUGGGGACUGUCUUUAUCUCAUCACCAGGCUAUGGUGCAGACAAGGUGACCUUCUAGGUACUUCGAGAUGGAGUAAAGACUGACUUACCAGGUGAUGAUUGGGCCUUCCCGUGGCAGUGACGUCCUGGGGAGUACCUUUAGUCUCCACGCCUUGUUUGGAUCCAGGAGGCAUUUGGUCCCUGCCCAGUUCAGAGACCUCGAAGGGUGGGUGGUCAGGUCCAGCCGAGAGCAGAUGCGCACAGCAGGCUUCCCUGGUUGGCCUCCUCUCUGUCUUCCAGUCAGAUGGAUCCCUCCCUCUGUUCUCUCAGGCCACACCUUCCUAGCCUCCAGGAUCUGACUCUCCCAGCCCUUCUACCAGGCAUGUUAUCUUCUCAGUUUUCAUCCUGGAGCUCUACCCCGUGGUUCCAGACCCCGCUCCACUGCCACCCCCUUCUUCCACUCAGAGGGCCCCAGAGAGUAAACCAAGACCCUGCCUCGGGAGCUGGACACCUGUGCACCCAGCCCAGCACUGCUGGACUUGCACUGUGGCUUGAGUACCUUACAGAUUCUGUGCCUCUGUUUCCCCAACUGCCAAGUGAGAGCACAUGGGACACACAGAGGAUGUGCCUCUGACUAUCCUGCAGUUCUGUAGGUCUGAGCCUUUGGAUUGAGCUACAGUGCACUUUAGAGUUUGGAGGGAUGGCUUUUGGGGAGUGCUCUCAGAGGCCCCCUUUUGGCCAGGUAGGGACAGGAAAAUAUGUAUAUAGGGAGGGAGCUGUCCAGAACUGUGAAUAGUUAAUAACCUUAACACAUUGCUUCAUGGGGUACCUCUCACCCUCUGAGCCUCACAGCGGCCCUUUUAUGGGUGACUAAACUGAGCCUCAGGUGGAGGUGGUGGCUUUCCCAUAGCCACAGAGCUGGGAAGUGUUAGAGCUGGGCCAAAAACAAGCUCUCCUAAUCCUUCACCUGCAUCAGUGCUGCCAGAGUGGUGAGCUGGGAGCUAGUUCAUCCUGCACUGCUAGGGGAACUCUGGGACAAGUGACCAGAAGAGGGUCAAGCCUCCUGCCUCUUACAGCUCCUGUGCUCUGAGAGGGUCCCUCCUUUCUGAUGCUGGAGGGGGUGGGAGAAGAUCUCAAAGUCUCAGCAUCUCCUCUCCUCACCUGGACAGCAGUCAUUUGGCCUCAAGGCUCAUACCUCUCACCCAGACCCUGUCAUGUAGCCAUGCUGAGUGGCUCCCAGAAUUGUCAGCAUUCUAUACAUACUCUUCCCGUCGUGCUCUUCUGCCGCCUAAGACAACACCUCUGCCCCCCAGCCUUCCAGGCCACAUAGCCAGCCACCUACUUGAGAAGCCUCUUCUGAUACCUCUAACGGAUGUGCUGCCUACCCGAUCUCAACCCCAUAUGCUGCUGUCCCCAUAGCAUCAUCAUCGUUACGGCAAUUGUUAAGUUCUUUCUAUGUGCCGUGCCAGGUACUGUGUAUAAACUCCUCUAGUCCUCACAUGAGCUAGUUAUUAGUAUUAUUAUGUCUCCGUUUUACAGAUGAGAAAACUGAGGCACAGGGAGUUUCAUUUACCUGGUGUGAUGCCUCCCUAGUCAGGUUAUUUCAUAAGCACCUAUUUUCCCUCCCUGGAGACCACAGGCUGCUGGAUGGCUCACUGCUCUGUCCCGUCACCCAGCAUAGCUUCUGAGUGACUGAUGGAUGGGGGGUCAAGUGCUGCAAGAGAUGCAGGGGCCACACAAGGAUGCACCAGAGCAUCCCUCCAGGAGCUCCCAGGCUGUCAUGGGCUACCCACACCAAAUGCCACUGUAAGAGUUUGGGGAAAGAGAUACUAUCACUGUGUCAGGCCUGGAAGGCAGGCUUUGUUGGAGGCUAUGGUGAGACCAAGGACCCGAGUGAGGCAUUGACCUACCCAAGAUCACACAGCAAGUUUGAUGCAGCCGUGGGGCUGAGACCCUGGGCUACCAGUGUGAUGUGCCUUCUUGCUCCUUGCAGCCAGCUGUGGGGCCCCUGUGUCUGUGCUUUUUCAAGGACACAUGGUCCCAGACGCUUCCACGAUGUUGAGCUGUUCCAUGAGUGGCUCUGGUCCUUCUCGCCCCUUUAUUAAAAUUUUUU